AAGGAUGUUUUUUGAGAAGCUCAUCAGCUCCAUCGUGCAGAGGUUUGAGUGUCUAAUUUUUAACCAUUCGCAUUCAACCUUUGGACGGUAGAGAUGGUCAGUGAGAAAGCAACCUAUACAGA
rnacentral:precursor_RNA from 15 species